AGGAAGCCGUCAUUCGGUGCGAUCUCUCUUCGCUGUCUCACUGUCGCCAGAGCGCCGUGGACGUCCAUGUUCCGGCGAAGCAUCAGAGCUUCCUCGAUAAAGUCUGCCGCCUCUUCAAAGUAAACGCUGAGGUCAAAGUGAUCCGUGUCGCUGGCCGCCACUCCAUGGAUCACAAGUCGAAAAUCGGCGACAAAGCUGAGCUUCUCUUGCGUGACUUCCCGAAGAUAUAAGCCAUGAUGGAAACCUGCAGCAAACGAUUAUAACACGUGGAGAUGGGUAAGUCCCGAUACCGGGUACAGACAUUAUUUGAACUCUUUCGCCAUCAAAAAAAAAAAAAAAAAAGAGAGAAUUUCAUGAGUGCCAGCCAAUAUACAGCAUUCUGACUGAUUUGUUUUGACCUUAUUCUUUUUUUUUUUUUUUCUAAUCAGCAGUCGAACAAGAGUUGGUUUCACCCAAAUCACCAAUGUUGGAUCAAACAAACAUAGAAAAAAAGGCUUUUGAUGACAC